AAAGUAUUUCUUCUGUCUCAAAAUUCUUGUUUUAAAUUUAUUUAAAUACAAAUGUAUCAAGUCAUAUUUUUAGUAUUAGAUACAUUCAUAUGUAAACAAAUUUAAGACAAGAAUUUAGAGAUGAAGGAAGUACAUA
rfam:Triticum urartu cultivar G1812 contig1213409, whole genome shotgun sequence.